UGAAUAUGCAUGGACAGGCUGUUCUGGAAAAUUCUGACAUCUCUGUUGAUGAGCCAGUCCCCACAGACAUUGAGAUGGAGGACACGACCCCGACAUCCAUGAUGAUCCCAACCAGUACAGAACAUGAAAUAGCAUGUAAGAUCAAACACCUUUCUGCCAGUAGAGUUUGUUGGGAUUGUCUGCCAAGCCAUAGGCAAUCAGCCAUGCUUGAAUGGGCUUUGGGGACAGGCGACAAAGAUGAGACAAUUGCUGAA